rnacentral:tRNA from 1 species
GGGCCUCUAAGUCAACGGGUUAGACGUCCGGCCUUUUAAGCCGGCAGACUGGGUUCGAGUCCCAGGGGGCCCA